AGUUAUUUGAUUAGAAAGACUGAUCCUUGUUCACAAUUAGGGUUUGUAAAUCAAAACAACCGAUAGUAGUUUUCAACAGGACGAAACAAUCUAUAAAGCAAAAAAGGCUCACGCAUAAACUUAGAGAGGGAAGGAGUUCAAAGGGAUCUUCCUUGUAUCCUAUAUUUCUCAUAUCAACUUACAAGCAUAUUCUCUUUGGU